CUGAAAAUGGAUGGCGCUGUAGCGUCGUGCCUAUACUCUGCCGUCAACGGCAAAGCGGGCGGCCCCUCACGGGGCGUUGCCGUUAAGCCUUGACGAGUAGGAGGGUCGCGGCGGUGAGCGCGGAAGGGUCUGGGCGCGAGCCCGCCUGGAGCCGCCGCCGGUGCAGAUCUUGGUGGUAGUAGCAAAUACUCCAGCGAGGCCCUGGAGGACUGAUGUGGAGAAGGGUUUCUUGUGAACAGCUGUUGCACAAGAGUCAGUCGAUCCUAAGCCCUAGGAGAAAUCCGAAGCGAUGGUCUGCCGUUAAAUAUGCAAAUGUUUACCGCAAGAAGGGAGGGAGGGAGGGAGGGAGAGGAGGAUUCCACUCCUUUCUCUCUCUUUCCUUUUUUUUGCGCGUUCAAAUCUUUGAGAUGGCACCGUCUGGGCGAAAGGGAGUCCGGUUCCUAUUCCGGAACCCGGCCGCGGAACCGCUCCAAUUCGGGCCCUCAUCCGAGGACUCGUCGGGGUGACCCGAAAUGACCCGGAGAAGCCGUAGGGAGGUCCGGGGAGAGUUGUCUCUUCUCUAUAAGCGUUCGAGUUCCCU
rnacentral:rRNA from 1 species